AGAGCGAACGCUGGCGGCAGGCCUAACACAUGCAAGUCGAGCGCCCGUAGCAAUACGGGAGCGGCAGACGGGAGAGUAACACGUGGGAACGCGCCCUUCGGUUCGGAAUAACUCAGGGAAACUUGAGCUAAUACCGGAUACGCCCUUACGGGGAAAGAUUUAUUGCCGAAGGAACGGCCCGCGUCCGAUUAGCUUGUUGGUGAGGUAAUGGCUCACCAAGGCGACGAUCGGUAGCUGGUCUGAGAGGAUGACCAGCCUCACUGGGACUGAGACACGGCCCAGACUCCUACGGGAGGCAGCAGUGGGGAAUAUUGGACAAUGGGCGCAAGCCUGAUCCAGCCAUGCCGCGUGGAUGAUGAAGGCCCUAGGGUUGUAAAGUCCUUUAACGGGGAAGAUAAUGACGGUACCGUAGAAUAAGCCCGGCUAACUUCGCGCCAGCAGCCGC
rnacentral:rRNA from 1 species